CCCUGAUGCCAAGUUUUCCCAGAGCUGUCAGUGCUUUGACAACAGCACAUAAUAUUUUUCUCGUUCCACUUCAGGUGCAUAUUGUUACAUGUUUUAAGCGAAAAUUGUGAUCUCUUUAGUGUAGAACGUAAUGCUGCAGUUUAUGCUUCUGUUCAGCCGACAAGGCAAACUUAGGCUACAGAAAUGGUACGUCGCACACUCGGAUAAAGUGAAGAAGAAGAUCACUCGCGAACUGAUCACAACAAUCCUCUCCCGAAAGCCGAAAAUGUGUUCCUUCUUGGAGUGGAAAGACUGCACCAUCGUUUACAAAAGAUAUGCCAGCUUGUACUUUUGUUGCGCUAUCGAACAAAACGAUAAUGAGCUGUUAACACUGGAAGUAAUACACAGAUACGUGGAACUGUUGGACAAGUACUUCGGUAGUGUCUGUGAGCUGGACAUCAUUUUCAACUUCGAGAAGGCCUAUUUCAUACUGGACGAGCUGCUGGUGGGAGGUGAAAUACAGGAAACGUCCAAAAAGAAUGUCCUCAAGGCAAUAGCGGCUCAAGAUGUGCUACAAGAGGAUGAAGCGGCGGACGGUGCCUUAAGAGAUAUUGGACUGCUCUGAACAAAUGCCUUGAUCCAGCGAUACAUCCCCAUUCUUGUUUCUCUUCUAUCAUUCUUCCUUAUUCCAUUAUACAGUCUAGGGUUUUUAGUUGGUCAAACGACCCGCGACUGUGUACUUGUACAAGCCAGUAAUAAUAGAUUAAUAAAACAAAAAAAACAGUACUAGGUGGUAGAAAAUCCCAUCGGUUACAACGCGUGUUUGCGUUCUCUUGGUGUUUUUUGGCGGGUAUUUUUUGUUUUUUAAUUAAGAAGUGCAUGCAACGUUCCGAUGUUAAGAAUUCCUUAAACACCUUGGAUACAAUAAACAUUUAAGCUUUUACCCUUACCGAUAGCUCUCUAUACAAAGCGACACAAUAGAAAAAUAUUAAGCUGUUUUAUUCAACAACAAUUUGGUAAUCGCUAAUUAAUUAUAGGUGGAUUGACGUGUACAUUGUUUUAUAUUCCCACAUUUGAUGAUUUUAUUAUUUAUCCAGCAGUUUACAAUAUCUCUCUGCAAAAUCCUUCAUCGUAUGUAUUUAUAUAUUUUAUAACAAAACUAAUCGUAGCAUACGUACAAACAGUUUUUAAGCACAGUCGUAUUCCAUUUGAUCCCAAAAUUAGCAUGGUUAGUGGAUUUAUCAAGCACUCAAUUUGGAAAUAGCAAAUGCACCAAGCUUAUGCGGCUGAUUUGAAACAAUUAUUAUUUUCUCUAUUUUUUUAUUAAACAAUGUAUUUUUAUUUUAUUUUACUGAAACCCUCCAAACGAACCCCUAGGAUGCGUCAAUAGUUUAAGAAGUUAAACAACGUGUUUGUUCUAUUGCAAUGUUUGCCAUGCGAGUACAGUGUAACAAUUGUGCUGGCGUUAUUUCCGAAAUUAAAACACACGUAUACACAUUACUUGAUCGUCGACGAUACUUCAUUUGUCGUUGUUUGUUUUGCAUAAUUUUAAUAUUCCAUUCACUCACCAAUAACAUACAAUUGUUGUCGUAAGGCGAAGAAAAAAAAAACAUUCACAUCCCCCUUGUUAGCGCGAAUGUUAUGUCUAAUUUCCUCUUAAAACAUCCUUCGAGUUCCGCUCUAAUCGCAACCUUCUCUCGGUACAAAGCAAAACGAAACCAAAGUCAACCACCUUCCCUACCCGACAAGGACGAAACGCCACAAGGAUUCUUCGAGGAUCAUGGGCUCGGAUAGACGGCGGCCGGUGUCGGUGGAACGAGACGUAUCCUUUCGCUGGCCAAAGCUCGCAACGAAUUAUGAUUUACGUAAUAGUAUUGUUUGGCAACAUUGUACCUCCUACUCGGACUACAGUAGUGCUUCUUUCAAUUUUAGCGAAUUUAUGAAAUUUAAUGCUCGGCUAUUACAUUUCCUUUGUCCGUACUCGGUAAUGGAAAUAUUUUUUUUAUCGUCGACAAAAUCCGACGACACUUCUUCUCAACAUAUCAUUUUUUAUUUAAAGUAAACGAAGGUGUUUCGAAGUUAAACGUACGUUCCAUUUCGUCCAAUGCCAGCGUCAUCAUAAAAUGCUUUUUAUAAGUCAAAUUUCACACGAUACGAAACUUUCAUCAGACACCAUAAAUAUGCUGCGCGCUACCCAAAUGAGCUUUCUCGAGAUGCAACUGAGUUGAAGAAGGAUGCAGACGAUGGAGUAGCUGCCGAUUCGAGUAGCUGCCCUAUUUCAUCCUGUACUUAAGAGAUGUGUAAGAUAAUUCGUCAACAUUUCCAUCGGCAUUCAUUAUCCUCGCAGUGGGCUGGGAUAAUAUGCAAAGAGAAAGAGAGAGAGAGGGAGAGAGAGAGCAGGUGGAAGUGUUCGUUCCCAGGUUCCCAUUACCAUUGUCGUCACAAUGUAUGUAGCCGGUCCGUCAUAGUUUAUUGUGUUGUGCUCAGUUUUAUCAUUGGAACUGGGCAGAAAGGCGCAUCAAGCCUACAGAUAAACGUAAUAUCACGCAUUAAUGAUGGCGAUCGAAGAUAAACGACCUACAUUACACACGUAGCAUUUAUAUAGUGUAGACAUAUUCGUCGUUGAUAAAGAUGUUAGUUUAACGUAAUAGUGAGAUCUUAUUCCUGAUAUACUUAUCAAUACAAGAACAUGCGAUUUCUAAUAAAAUUAGAAGCUAGUAUAGAAAGUAAA